GUGCAGCGGGAGGCCCGGGAUGGCGGGCCUCGGCAGCGGAAUUCGUGGCCGUGGUCGCGGGUGUGGUCGCGGCCGGGCCGAGGUCGCGGAGCCCGCGGAGGCAAGGCCGAGGACAAAGCGUGGAUGCCCACCACCCAGCUGGGCCGCCUGGUCAAGGACAUGAAGACCAAAUCCCUGGAGGAGACCUAUCUCUUCUCCUUGUCCAUCAAGGAGUCUGAGAUCAUUGACUUUUUCCUGAGGGCAUCUCUUAAAACAUGAGGUUUUGAAGAUUAUGCCGGUGAAAAAGCAGACCCGCGCUGGCCAGCGGACCAGGUUCAAGGCGAUUGUUGCCAUCGAGCACCACAAUGGCCAUGUCGGUCUGGGUGUUAAGUGCUCCAAGGAAGUAGCCAGUGCCAUCCGAGGGACCAUCGUCCAAGCCAAGCUCUCCAUCGUCCCCGUGCGGAGAGAAUACUGGGGGAACAAGAUCGGCAAGCCCCACACUGUUCCUUGCAAGGUGACAGGCCGCUGCGGCUGUGUGCUGGUGCGUCUCAUCCAUGCCCCUAUGGGAACUGGCAUCAUCUCGGCCCCUGUGCCCAAGAACUGCUGCUGCUGAGGGCUGGUAUCGAUGACUGCUACACCUCAGCCAGGGGCUGCACUGCUGCCCUGGGCAACUUCGCAAAGGGCACCUUUGAUGCCAUCUCCAAGACCUACAGUUAUCUGACUUCUGACCUCUGGAAAGAGACAGUAUUCACCAAGUCUCCCUACCAGGAAUUCACUGACCAUCCUGUCAAGACCCACACCAGCGUCUCUGUGCAGAGGACCCAGCCUCCAGCUGUGGCUGCAACAUGGCAUUUUUAUACAAGAAAAAUAAAGUGAAAUUAAGCAGUGAAAAAUAAAAAAGAUAGUGGACCGAGACAGGCCACAAAUGCAUAAGUAAAAUAAAUACUAUAAGGAAUGGUGAAAAGGAUAUGGAGAAAUAUAAUGCAGAGAAGGUUGUGUUGUAUACAUCUUUUCUAUUGUCUUUAUGCUAUAUUUUGACAUUGUGAAAAAACUUUCUGCAGAGGACACCAGCGUCGUCUGAUCCAACUCUUGGACACUACCUGGAGAUGGAUCAGAUCCUACAGGUUGAGAGUCCAGUCACACAAGACCGUCCCCAACUCCUGAUGCCAGUCCCAAACUCCAGGUUGUUUUACCUGUGUUUCUGACCAACUUGCUGUGAACUGGGGUUCCCACAACCCCCCUUCUUGGAUUUGAUUAAUUUGCUAGAGCAGCUCACCGAACCCAGGGAAACACUUUUACUGGAUUAUUAUAAAAGAUAUUUUCAAGGUAUACAAAUAAACAGCCAGAUGAAGAGACACCCAGGGCAAGGUCUGGAAGAAUCCCCAGUGCACAAGCUUCCCUUCCUGUGGAGUUCUAGCUAGAGCAAUCAGAUAAGAGAAAGAAUCAAGGUCAUCCAAAGUAGAAAAUAAGUCAAAUUAUCCUUAUUUGCAGAUGAUAUAAUCUUAUAUCCAGAGAAACCUAAAGAUUCCACAGAAA